rnacentral:rRNA from 1 species
AACGAACGCUGGCGGCAGGCCUAACACAUGCAAGUCGAGCGAGGACUUCGGUCCUAGCGGCGGACGGGUGAGUAACGCGUGGGAACGUGCCCUUUGCUUCGGAAUAGCCCUGGGAAACUGGGAGUAAUACCGGAUGAGCCCUUUGGGGGAAAGAUUUAUCGGCGAAGGAUCGGCCCGCGUUGGAUUAGGUAGUUGGUGGGGUAAUGGCCUACCAAGCCGACGAUCCAUAGCUGGUUUGAGAGGAUGAUCAGCCACACUGGGACUGAGACACGGCCCAGACUCCUACGGGAGGCAGCAGUGGGGAAUCUUAGACAAUGGGGGAAACCCUGAUCGAGCCAUGACGCGUGAGCGAUGAAGGCCUUAGGGUUGUAAAGCUCUUUCAGCUGGGAAGAUAAUGACGGUACCAGCAGAAGAAGCCCCGGCUAACUCCGUG